rnacentral:lncRNA from 1 species
CUAUUUUUAUACUUUAAAAAAAAAAUCUACCUCCUCUUUAAGAAUAAAUUCUUUAAAGAAAAGGUACUCUGUCAGAGAUAGUAUCCACAAUCCCUCAUCUCAGGCAGGGCAGAGAGUGGUCACUUAAUAUUUAUGGGGUAAAUGAAGAGAUGAAUGAAUGAUCACAUUGGCACGUGGUAAUUUCUGUCCAGAGUCAGGUUUAUUGACAUCAGUUUGAGGACAAAUUUCUGAUCAUCUCUCACCAAGCGUUUACCAAGUACAUGUGGAAUGGAGUGGGUGCCAGCAGCACAGAUACAGAAAGUGUAACGUCUACACUCUAGCCCCUCUAGGGAGGGAUGGGCUGGGGUGCAAAGGACUAACCCCCAGCAGUGUGUGCCCAGGACUCUCCAUGCUCAGGGACUCUCCUGACACAGCCGCCAGCCUGGAGGUGGGGACAGUUCCAGCCUGAGGAGCUGGGCCCUGGGGAAUGUCCCCACUCCUCUGCCUCAUGUUUACCCAAACUCUGGACACCAUUCCAUGUGCUUGGCCCCCAGGAUAAAGAAGAACGGGCCUUCCACGCUGGUGCAAUGAGGUUAUCGCUAGAGGAAAGUAUGCAAAUUUAUCAAGAGAGAAGAAAGAACAAGAAUGGGUUAAAGAGGAAAAGAGAAAAUGAGAAGGACUGAAAAAGGAAAGAGCAAAACCAGCCCUGUCAACCCCUCUCAUCUCGCCUCUACAAUCCUGGCCGUGGGCCCCAGCACGCUCACUGGGACAAUGCGAUGUCCUCUCGCCAGCCUCCCUGAACCAACGCCCACCCCCACUUCCAGUGCAAUCCAAACUCCGGCCAGGAUCUGAGUGAGCUUUUAUAAACAAAAAUCAGAUUGUGCAGAUGUGUCACUCCCCGCUUUAUCCCCUCCUUGGCUAGCCUUGCGGUGAAAAUAAAAUUCAAAUUCCACGCUCAGUCACAGAAAGCCCUGCAUGAUUUGGUGUCUGUCCCCGCAGACCGGAUCCAGCCACAGUGACCUGCUUUCCGAACCUGAAAACACCAGGCUUAUUGCAGCCUCAGGGCCUCUGCCCUGGCUGUUCCCUCCUCCAGCAUGGCUCUGUCCCCUGAUCUUCACCAAACGGGGUCCUUCUUGACAUUCAGCUUAAACACCCUCAGCACAGUGGAGGUUCCUUGACCCCCCAUUCUGAGUAACUGCGGGCCCCCUCUCCAUUACAUACCGGGGGUUGUUUUUCUGCACACUUACCACUAGGUGAUCUUUCCUAGUCACAUUUUUUUUUAAUAUCACCCCAUGUAUUAGUCUGCUCUUGCCGCAUAAGAAAUUACCACAAACUAAGAAGCUUAAAACCACCUCCAUUUAUUAGUUCACAGCUCUGUGGGUCUGAAGCUUGGGCCCAGAGGGGCUGAGCUCUGAAAGAGUGUUGGCUGGGCUGUGUUCUCAUCUGGAUCUUGGGGUCCUUUUCCAGGCUCCUGCGGUUGUGUCAGGACUAAAGUUCUUAUCUCCUGCCAUGAGUCAGGCGCAGCUCUGAGCACCUAAAGGCCACCCACAUCCCUUGCAUCACGGCUGCUCCAACUUCAAAGCUGGAAACAGAGAAGCUUCCUUACCUGGAGGCCCUCUCAUACUUGAAUCUCUCCCACCAGGAAAAGCCCAGUCCCGAACGCAGGGAUCACUUGACUAUGUCAUGGGCACCCAGGGUCAAACCUGCCAUAUGACAUAACCUAAUCAAGAGGUGACUGUCACCACAUGCACAAGUCAUGUUCACACUUGGAGAGGAUUACACAUAUGCUGGAAUUUGGGGGCCACCUUAGAAUUCUGCCUACCAUACCCCACUUGAGUAGGGCUUGGCCUGCCUUGCUAGGUCUGUACCCCAAGGCCUUGGACAGGUCUUCCAACCACACAUAGAACAUGCAUACAAUAAAAAUAUUGCACAGCACAAUGUGGGAAUGCACAGGAUUGCUCAGCGAGUAGAGGUGCCCAGGGCCCAGGCGCCCAACCCAGCCCAGCCCUCUCUCUUCCUACCCAGGAUGGGGGAAUCAGAACCGCGCCCCCCACACCUGAGCCCAGCCAGGUGCAUCAUGUGCCACAGCACAGUGAUGGAAGUUUUGGUCUAGACUAGUUCCAGCAUGUAGUAGGUGUUCAUUAAUUUUUAAUUUUUUCCCAUUUAUUAAUGAAUGAAAGGAAGAGGGCUAUCUCUCCUAGAAACUAGAGAUGGAAAGAAUGGGAAGAAUUGGGGUGGCAGGGAGCAAAGCAGAAACCAAGAGCCAGUCAAGUGCUUUCUUCCUCCCUCUACUCUCAGCCUGUCCAACAUCCAUUUCCCACGGCCCAUACUCACCCCCAACUCCACCUCCCUCAGGGAGCCUCCUCUGCUGCAGCCUGAGGUCCUAGGCUCUGAACACCUACCUCACUCAUUUGGCCCUUUCCGGGAGGCUGCCUUGUGACACCUCUCUCCUAUGGGGAACAACAGGCCAGAUCCUGCUUGCUGACUGCAAUUCACCACCGUGGUGUCUCAUGUCCCUGUCUCAUUUUCACUCUCCCAUGACAAAGAUGGCUGUCUCACCACCUUUGUCUCCAGCCAGUGUGCAGAGGGAGCACAUUUUGGCUUGGGGCAGGGGGCCAGAGGUGUGCAGAGCAGGCAGCAGGAACACAGUAUGAGGCCCUGGGCAUCUGCAAAAAGGUGACAGAGGCCUGAAGGUCAGACGGCAUAGAAAGGGAGAGGAAGGAAAAGCCACCAGACCCAGAGAACUUGUCAUCAUCAGAAGACCCGCAUCCAACCAACGGCCGUCCCCACAACUGGAGGCUACGUCCUUUGGUCCAAACCUGCCCAAAGAGCCUCAGGUACUGAGAAAUGUCCCCAAUCUCUCUUCUCCUCAUUUCCAGUAGUGGUCAGUGUUGGUACAAGUAAAAUGACACAGUGAUGCUGCCGGAAGAUGUGAUAUAUUUGCUCUUAACAUCCAAACAAGGAAAGAAAAAGGACAGGCGACCGUAAGCCUAUGAGGAAGACUGUCACCUUCACACAAGCCCCACUUGCCUACAGGAAGCUAAUGUUCACACUGUGGACUCAAGGAAGACUCUCAUUAGGCCUAAGAUGGGUCAGAACUUACUAGACUCCUGGUUCUGGUUCUGGGCGUCCCUCCUGGGCAACUGGCACUUAGAGAGGGAUCAGAGGGCAGCCUCAAAGGUGAUAAGCAGGCCGGGCAGCAGGCCUGGGAGAAAAAGAAGCUGGGAUUAUUCAUUGGGAGAAGACAGGCUGGCAGGAUUUAAUACA